rnacentral:rRNA from 1 species
UACGUAGGGUGCGAGCGUUGUCCGGAAUUAUUGGGCGUAAAGAGCUUGUAGGCGGUUUGUCGCGUCUGCUGUGAAAAUCCGGGGCUCAACCCCGGACUUGCAGUGGGUACGGGCAGACUAGAGUGUGGUAGGGGAGACUGGAAUUCCUGGUGUAGCGGUGAAAUGCGCAGAUAUCGGGAAGAACACCCGUGGCGAAGGCGGCACUCUGGGACGGUACUGACGCUGAGACGCGAAAGCGUGGGGAGCGAACAGG